CGGGAGCCUCGCUGUCCCAAUCCUCCGCCUCGUCCGCGGAGCAGCCGCCGGUGGAGCAGUCAGCCAAAACCCGCAUCAGCACCUCCAUGGUGGCUGGAGAGAUGGCCAGCAGGGCGUUCCUCUGUGGACGAAGGUACCAAACUGGAUUUGGCAGAUCGGAUUCCCUUCCUAACCACAUCUACGCCUUUGGAGCUACCUGUUGUAGGAGCUAACAGAAAAGAAAGGACUCAAUCUGCUCUUCUUGUUGCCGUAAACAUUCUUAAUCCAGGCUUAGCUGAUGUCCAGUUUAGUAAAUGAAUGAAUAAAAUGUCUAUAGAACACUUGAAGAACAUAAAA